rnacentral:tRNA from 1 species
GGGCGGUUAGCUCAGAUGGAAGAGCGCCCCGUUCACAUCGGGGAGGUCGUAGGUUCAAAUCCUGCACCGCCCA